CAGUAUUUUGCUAAAAAGUCUUAGAAUCAUAGAACUAACUAUAGAAUUAUUAUUAAGAUGAAUUUAAAAACCAAGGUAACAUGUACUGGUAAGUGUGAUUUAAUGUAAUGCUAUCCAUUGUAUUUUGUUGCAGCUUGAAAGAGUGAUGCUGUAGCUACAAGGACAAACAGGGAAGUCAACAUGAAGUUGGUCUUUACUGGUCUGGUGUAAGGUCGACUGCCGACCUCCUCAGUUCUGGACGACUGGAGUCUUUAAGCUAAAGGCAGUGAGGAUCUCAUCAGCUGAUCUCAGAGGACAAGAAGGACGAAUCAGAAUUGGGACAAAAGGCAUUGGGACCAACGGCUGCAAAUCCAAAUUUCUGUAUUUUAUUUUUAUUUUUAAAAUAAAUAAAUAAAUAAAUUGUGUCACAGACAGGCCACAUGACAAAGAGAGUUCUCCUGUAAGAAUUAUUAUCUGAAGAAAACCGUGGGCCUUAGUGGGCAAAUCAGAGCACACUACAAAGGAAAAAAAAAGGAACUAGAUUGAUUUGAGUUAUAUCGUUAAGGUUUCAAAAUGUUUCACAAAGAUAAAAAUGCUAU